rnacentral:rRNA from 1 species
GGGGGGGGGUGCUAUACAUGCAGUCGAACGCACAGCGAAAGGUGCUUGCACCUUUCAAGUGAGUGGCGAACGGGUGAGUAACACGUGGACAACCUGCCUCAAGGCUGGGGAUAACAUUUGGAAACAGAUGCUAAUACCGAAUAAAACUUAGUGUCGCAUGACACAAAGUUAAAAGGCGCUUCGGCGUCACCUAGAGAUGGAUCCGCGGUGCAUUAGUUAGUUGGUGGGGUAAAGGCCUACCAAGACAAUGAUGCAUAGCCGAGUUGAGAGACUGAUCGGCCACAUUGGGACUGAGACACGGCCCAAACUCCUACGGGAGGCUGCAGUAGGGAAUCUUCCACAAUGGGCGAAAGCCUGAUGGAGCAACGCCGCGUGUGUGAUGAAGGCUUUCGGGUCGUAAAGCACUGUUGUAUGGGAAGAACAGCUAGAAUAGGAAAUGAUUUUAGUUUGACGGUACCAUACCAGAAAGGGACGGCUAAAUACGUGCCAGCAGCCGCGGUAAUACGUAUGUCCCGAGCGUUAUCCGGAUUUAUUGGGCGUAAAGCGAGCGCAGACGGUUUAUUAAGUCUGAUGUGAAAGCCCGGAGCUCAACUCCGGAAUGGCAUUGGAAACUGGUUAACUUGAGUGCAGUAGAGGUAAGUGGAACUCCAUGUGUAGCGGUGGAAUGCGUAGAUAUAUGGAAGAACACCAGUGGCGAAGGCGGCUUACUGGACUGCAACUGACGUUGAGGCUCGAAAGUGUGGGUAGCAAACAGGAUUAGAUACCCUGGUAGUCCACACCGUAAACGAUGAACACUAGGUGUUAGGAGGUUUCCGCCUCUUAGUGCCGAAGCUAACGCAUUAAGUGUUCCGCCUGGGGAGUACGACCGCAAGGUUGAAACUCAAAGGAAUUGACGGGGACCCGCACAAGCGGUGGAGCAUGUGGUUUAAUUCGAAGCAACGCGAAGAACCUUACCAGGUCUUGACAUCCUUUGAAGCUUUUAGAGAUAGAAGUGUUCUCUUCGGAGACAAAGUGACAGGUGGUGCAUGGUCGUCGUC